rnacentral:rRNA from 1 species
GACGAACGCUGGCGGCGUGCUUAACACAUGCAAGUCGAGCGGUAAGGCCCUUUCGGGGGUACACGAGCGGCGAACGGGUGAGUAACACGUGGGUGACCUGCCUCUAGCUCUGGGAUAAGCCUGGGAAGCUGGGUCUAAUACCGGAUAUGACCUCGCGGUGCAUGUUGCGGGGUGGAAAGCCUUGUGCGGCUAGGGGAUGGGCCCGCGGCCUAUCAGCUUGUUGGUGGGGUGANGGCCUACCAAGGCGACGACGGGUAGCCGGCCUGAGAGGGCGACCGGCCACACUGGGACUGAGACACGGCCCAGACUCCUACGGGAGGCAGCAGUGGGGAAUCUUGCGCAAUGGGCGAAAGCCUGACGCAGCGACGCCGCGUGAGGGAUGACGGCCUGG